GUUUUUAGGCAAUUUACGGGCAUUUUUAGCAAAAGUACUAUUUCACAAAAGUUGUUCGUAUUGAAAUUUUACUCAAGAUAGGCUCAAGAAACUCUUGAUUUGGACUUCGUAGGAGAAAGUUAUGCUCAUAUUAAGUUUCUGCCCAAAUUUCAUAUUUUAUAUAGUUGAUUUAAAAACUCUACUUUUCAUAUAAUUGCUUCAUAAUGAACUUUUGAGUUACCAUAUGUACAUAUGAUUAUGUAAUGUUGAUUUUAUAUAAAGUAAGAUGAUUUCAAUUAAUUUGGUAAGGGUUUUAGUUAGACGGUUUUAGUUAGACGUUAGAACAUGAUAUGUUUGUUGGAUGUUUUAUAUGAAUUUAGGAAAGGUUGAUUGCUUUGUGAACUAAGUUAGUUGUAUCCAAGUCUUUUAUUACUUACGAAGUACAUAUAUUUAUAUUGUAGCUUUCGGUUACACUAAAGAGUCGUUUAGACCGAGAUAGUUGUUUAACUGUGAUUCGAAAAGGUACAUGAAGGUAAUGUAUAAUGAAGAAGGUUCGAUGUUGGAAGUUUGUUUAUGCUUUAUACUAUUUGUAUCGCGGCGAGGACGAUCAACUUUGUAAUAUUAUAGUUAAUAGUUAAUUUGUAAUUGAAUUAAAAAGGUUUGAGUUUGUAAA